GGUCGUGUUGGUCAUUAAUUGUGGUCGUUGUUAAUUAUUUUGGACAAUUAUAUGAAACGAACGUUUAGUGACAAUACUUUUAAACACUUUUAGUGAUAUCGGGUUAAUAAGAAGUAUUGCGAUUAUUGUGAUGAAAGUGUCGAUAAGCAUAACUUUUGCUGAAGAUGACAAAGUUGUGUGAGUGCAACCUUUCCAAAGAAGAAUCUAGAAGAAAGCCAUGUUGGUCUAAAGAUUGUGGGUUUUCAUGUUUGGCAUUAUUAGAAGCACCAGCAGGAAGGAGCACAUUAAACAAAAUUUAGCAAGAAAGUUAAGUCUUGCAGAUGUGGUCUUAACAUUGGACGAGAUAUUGUCCAUCAACAGUACCUUUGGAGAACCAUGGAAACGUAAUCGUGGAGGAUUUUUACGGCGACGUGGUAUUACAUU